rnacentral:rRNA from 1 species
CUAGAGCAUGGAUUUCAGGGCAGAAGUUUUUUUAAAUUUAAUAAUUAAAGUUAUUUUAAUUUGUGAAGAAACAAUUAUAUAAAUUAAGGACAAGAAGACCCUAAGAAUUUAAGAAUUCUUAUGUUACUUAAAUAUAAAAUAGGAAUUCUUAGUUGGGGCAACUAAAAAACAUUAUAAACUUUUUUUUCUUUAAAAUGACCCAUUAUUAAUG